rnacentral:rRNA from 1 species
GUCUACAGCCAAGCCACCCUGAAUGUGCCCGAUCUCGUCUGAUCUUGGAACUAAGCAGGGUCGGGCCUGGUUAGUACUUGGAUGGUAGACCACCUAGGAAUACCAGGUGCUGUAAGCU